rnacentral:lncRNA from 1 species
UUCACCAGGACAGAUAAGCCCACAAAACCUUUGCGUCUCUUACAUACUAGACACAUAAGAUUAGGGGAACUAACCGUUUCCGUUUCUGAGGGAAGACAUCGCCUCGCCCCGCCUCGCCUCCUCGCGUGGGAGGCAGCCAGUCCUCCUGGCGGCCCUUGGGGACUGCGCCGGGUGCCGGGCAUUGUGGGAGUGAGGAGGCGGCAGCCAAUAGGGCUCGCGCUCCGCCGCCAGGCGCGACGCACGAGGAUGAGGGCGGAGAGCGCCUCCGCCUCACAAGCCGUGGCUGCAGUUGCCUUGGAGGAGGAAGUUCAUGGCUGCACACUUCUGUGUGCCUGUCGCUCAGGAAGGCAUCCUCCAGGACGGAGGCAGGGUGAAAGAAGAAAGAGGAAGCUCUCUGGGAUCUUUCUUAUAAGGGUGCUAAUAUUAUUCAUGAAGACUUUACUGUCAUGACCUAAUCAUCUUCUAAAAGCCCCAUGUCCUAAUACCAUCACAUUGAGGACUAACUUUCAACACAGGAUUUUUUUGGCGGAGGCUGGAUACAACAUUCAGUCCAUAGCACUUAUUGUGUGUGAAUCACAGAGGAUUCAAUAUGCAUGUGAUAAGCUGUCAAGGAAUAUGUAGGAUGAGUGAGAGAUAAUACAGAAAUAAAUAUGAUAUCAAGCAGGGGUUGGAAAAUUAUGGUCCAUAAACCAUGUCCAUCCUGCCACCUGUUUUUGGA